GUGUCUCCCAAUGAAUGUUUCCCCAGACCGGCCCUGUAGCAGUAACAAGGACAUUUUUUGUUCCGAUAAGGAAACUAAGGCACAGAGGCUGUGACUUGCCCAAAGCCGCGCAGCAAGUCAGUGGCAGAGAGCUAUUUUGGAGGUCUCAGUGUCAGAGCUGAACAGCAGGCCUGCUGCUAAUCAGUUCUACAGUAAUCACUAACUCAGGUAAAAAAACUACCAGAUUUUGAAGGACGCCCCCUAGUAUUAUUCAGCACCCAGUUUGUAAUUAAAGUAUUAAUACAAUUCUGCCUCUUUGUGUAAAUACUUUCAAUCACUCCUGAAACAAUGCAUACCCAGUAAUCAGUCAUCACCUUACUAAACCACCUCCUUCUCAAACAUUGUGUUGUAUCCCUAAAGGAAUUAUAAAGCAAAGGAGGUUACUGGAUAGGUGGUCUAGAGUAAAUGAUCUAGGAACUGAUAGGCUAUCAUGUCUAACUUUUUAGUUAACUGAGAAUACAUUUUGGGUGGGGAUGGAUGAGAAGUGCACGUACAAUGGAGAGUGCAGUCUUCUGCCCAUCUGUGGUAUACUAAAUACAAACAAUUACAUGUGAAAAUGUUACUUUUCUUGUCCUGUUAAUUUUGUCUUCUUUUGUCUCUUUGAAAAAUUAAAAAG